GACGAACGCUGGCGGCAGGCCUAACACAUGCAAGUCGAGCGGAGCGGCGGAAGGGUGAGUAAUGCCUAGGAAUCUACCUGGUAGUGGGGGAUAAAGUCCGGAAACGGGCGCUAAUACCGCAUACUAUCAAAUGAGACUAGGUCGGAUUAGCAAGUUGGUGGGGGAAAGGCCUACCAAGGCGACGAUCCGUAACUGUUCUGAGAGGAGGAUCAGUCACACUGGAACUGAGACACGGUCCAGACUCCUACGGUAGGCAGCAGUGGGGAAUAUUGGACAAUGGGCGAAAGCCUGAUCCAGCCAUGCCGCGUGUGUGAAGAAGGUCUUCGGAUUGUAAAGCACUUUAAGUUGGGAGGCGUUACCAACAGAAUAAGCACCGGCUAACUUCGUGCCAGCAGCCGCGGUAAUAC
rnacentral:rRNA from 1 species